AUUGAACGCUGGCGGCAGGCCUAACACAUGCAAGUCGAGCGGAUGAAGGGAGCUUGCUCCUGGAUUCAGCGGCGGACUGGUGAGUAAUGCCUAGGAAUCUGCCUGGUAGUGGGGGAUAACGUCCGGAAACGGGCGCUAAUACCGCAUACGUCCUGAGGGAGAAAGUGGGGGAUCUUCGGACCUCACGCUAUCAGAUGAGCCUAGGUCGGAUUAGCUAGUUGGUGGGGUAAAGGCCUACCAAGGCGACGAUCCGUAACUGGUCUGAGAGGAUGAUCUGUCACACUGGAACUGAGACACGGUCCAGACUCCUACGGGAGGCAGCAGUGGGGAAUAUUGGACAAUGGGCGAAAGCCUGAUCCAGCCAUGCCGCGUGUGUGAAGAAGGUCUUCGGAUUGUAAAGCACUUUAAGUUGGGAGGAAGGGCAGUAAGUUAAUACCUUGCUGUUUUGACGUUACCAACAGAAUAAGCACCGGCUAACUUCGUG
rnacentral:rRNA from 1 species